GAACGGGUGAGUAACACGUGAGUAACCUGCCCCCGACUUUGGGAUAAGCCCGGGAAACUGGGUCUAAUACCGGAUAUGACUUCCUGCCGCAUGGUGGGUUGUUGAAAGAUUUAUCGGUGGGGGAUGGACUCGCGGCCUAUCAGCUUGUUGGUGAGGUAAUGGCUCACCAAGGCGACGACGGGUAGCCGGCCUGAGAGGGUGACCGGCCACACUGGGACUGAGACACGGCCCAGACUCCUACGGGAGGCAGCAGUGGGGAAUAUUGCACAAUGGGCGGAAGCCUGAUGCAGCGACGCCGCGUGAGGGAUGACGGCCUUCGGGUUGUAAACCUCUUUCAGUAGGGAAGAAGCGAAAGUGACGGUACCUGCAGAAGAAGCGCCGGCUAACUACGUGCCAGCAGCCGCGGUAAUACGUAGGGCGCAAGCGUUAUCCGGAUUUAUUGGGCGUAAAGAGCUCGUAGGCGGUUUGUCGCGUCUGCCGUGAAAGUCCGAGGCUCAACCUCGGAUCUGCGGUGGGUACGGGCAGACUAGAGUGAUGUAGGGGAGACUGGAAUUCCUGGUGUAGCGGUGAAAUGCGCAGAUAUCAGGAGGAACACCGAUGGCGAAGGCAGGUCUCUGGGCAUUUACUGACGCUGAGGAGCGAAAGCAUGGGGAGCGAACAGGAUUAGAUACCCUGGUAGUCCAUGCCGUAAACGUUGGGCACUAGGUGUGGGGG
rnacentral:rRNA from 1 species